GCCGGAUUAGCUCAAUGGAAGAGUAUCGGCUUCGUAACCCGACGACAACUGUUCGACUCAGUUAUUCGGCA
rnacentral:tRNA from 1 species